rnacentral:rRNA from 1 species
GACGAACGCUGGCGGCGUGCCUAAUACAUGCAAGUUGAGCGAUGAAGCUUGGUGCUUGCCCCAAUUUGAAGAGCAGCGAACGGGUGAGUAGCGCGUGGGGAAUCUGCCUUUGAGCGGGGGACAACAUUUGGAAACGAAUGCUAAUACCGCAUAACAACUUUAAACAUAAGUUUUAAGUUUGAAAGAUGCAAUUGCAUCACUCAAAGAUGAUCCCGCGUUGUAUUAGCUAGUUGGUGAGGUAAAGGCUCACCAAGGCGAUGAUACAUAGCCGACCUGAGAGGGUGAUCGGCCACAUUGGGACUGAGACACGGCCCAAACUCCUACGGGAGGCAGCAGUAGGGAAUCUUCGGCAAUGGACGAAAGUCUGACCGAGCAACGCCGCGGGAGUGAAGAAGGUUUUCGGAUCGUAAAACUCUGUUGGUAGAGAAGAACGUUGGUGAGAGUGGAAAGCUCAUCAAGUGACGGUAACUACCCAGAAAGGGACGGCUAACUACGUG